rnacentral:lncRNA from 1 species
CCAUUGAGGAACCAGUUAUAAGUCCCUGUGAGUUGGCAUCUGUUCCCAUGACAUGGAAGGGGUAGAGUGUAAGACCUCAUUGGUCACUCAUACCCAUUGCCUAGUGCAUUUAUUUGUUGUAUGUGAGGAUUCAUUGUAAGUCCCUGUGAUGUGGCAUUUGUAUUCCUAGGAUCAUACUGUGGAGGUUAACAUAAGUCCAGAUGGAUUGGCAGUUGAC